GGCCUGUUAGCUCACUCGGCAGAGCGUGGUGCUAAUAACGCUAAGGUCGUGAGUUCGAUCCUCACACAGGCCA
rnacentral:tRNA from 1 species